rnacentral:lncRNA from 10 species
UGUCUUAAGCACUCUCUUCAGUUCCUUUAAAUGAGCCGAGGUCAUGGUGGUUCGGAGAGAUAAGGUCUCACCAUGUUGUCCAGACUGGACUUGAACUCCUGGCUUCAAGCAAUCUGCCCACCUCCGCCUCCCAAAGUCCUGGGAUUUAUAGGCAUGAACCACCGCACCUGGCCUCCCCACCAUUUUAUUUUCUCCCGUGGCUAUCACAACCAGGAAUAAGAGAGGGAGGGGGACCUCAGUGGUGAUUUUAUGCUAAGGAUUAUGGAUAACACCAUCCCCCCAUUUUACAAAUGAAGAAACUGGGGCUCAAAAAGCUUAAUUAAAUGUCUAAGGCCACUGAGGCAGCAAUUAAAGAGGAUGUGAAGCCAGUCUGCUUUGUCUUCUUCUGGAGCCUCUCCUUGAGGCUGACACACCUGAUCAUAGCCCCAUUAUCUUAAGAGUGUUAGCCAUAUCCAGUGGCCAGCACACUCUAGACACUUCUGUUAUUGUAGAGAGACCUGUUAGAGAUGGAUGCAAGAGAUUUACCCUUUUUCAGCCUUGCCUCUGCUGUCUUGGGGAAGUGGGAAGGUUGCUUUAAAUGACGUGUCUCGUGAUCUGUAAAUAAAAGAAAA